UACGGGGGGAGCAAGCGUUGUUCGGAUUUACUGGGCGUAAAGGGCGCGUAGGCGGCCAGCACAAGUCAGUUGUGAAAUCUCCGAGCUUAACUCGGAAAGGUCAACUGAUACUGUGCGGCUAGAGUGCGGAAGGGGCAACUGGAAUUCUUGGUGUAGCAGUGAAAUGCGUAGAGAUCAUGAGGAAGACCAGUGGCGAAGGCGGGUCUCUGGACAGUUCCUGACACUGAGGCACGAAGGCCAGGGGAGCAAACGGG
rnacentral:rRNA from 1 species